rnacentral:rRNA from 1 species
AACGAACGCUGGCGGCAGGCCUAACACAUGCAAGUCGAGCGCGCCCUUCGGGUUGAGCGGCGGACGGGUGGGUAACGCGUGGGAACGUUCCCUUUUCUACGGAAUAGCCUCGGGAAACUGAGAGUAAUACCGUAUACGCCCUUUGGGGGAAAGAUUUAUCGGAAAAUGAUCGGCCCGCGUUGGAUUAGGUAUUUGGUGGGGUAAUGGCCUACCAAGCCGACGAUCCAUAGCUGGUUUGAGAGGAUGAUCAGCCACACUGGGACUGAGACACGGCCCAGACUCCUACGGGAGGCAGAAGUGGGGAAUCUUAGACAAUGGGGGCAACCAUGAUCUAGCCAUGCCGCGUGAGUGAUGAAGGCCUUAGGGUUGUAAAGCUCUUUCAGCUGGGAAGAUAAUGACGGUACCAGCAGAAGAAGCCCCGGCUAACUCCGUG